rnacentral:rRNA from 1 species
UACGUAGGGUGCAAGCGUUAAUCGGAAUUACUGGGCGUAAAGCGCGCGCAGGCGGUCUUCCAAGUCAGUGGUGAAAGCCCGGAGCUCAACUCCGGAACUGCCAUUGAAACUGUUAGACUCGAGGAUGAGAGAGGUGAGUGGAAUUCCCAGUGUAGAGGUGAAAUUCGUAGAUAUUGGGAAGAACACCGGUGGCGAAGGCGGCUCACUGGCUCAUUACUGACGCUCAGGCGCGAUAGCGUGGGGAUCAAACAGG